rnacentral:lncRNA from 1 species
CGGAAUGGCUUCUCUGCAGGUACAUGACAUCAAUCCUAAUUCUGUAGAGUUCAGCCAGUACUUAAAUCUCUUUUCUCCUGUUGCAUUGACCAAUUCUUUGUUUAGUUGCUAUGGCGUGUAGGUGAAAUUUUUCCAUGUUUCUCUUCCAAGGGGAUAAUUGUCCAAAUAUUUAAUCAUCUUUAUGAGUUAAUCAUUUCCUAACAAUUUGAUGACAUUAUCAGAUAGCAUUCAGUUCUCUUCCAAAGGGUGAUAGUGGAAGUCGAGCACUUACGAUAUAAAGGUAUCUUGGUAAAAUCUAUAUGUAAUAUAAUAUGGUUAUUUUUAUAAGUACAUUUUCUAACAUCGAUUAAAGAAUACGAGGGUGAUAGUGGAAGUCAAGCAUUUAAGAUAAAAAGGUUCUUGGUAAAAUCUCUAUGUAAUAUAAUAUGAUUACUUUUAUAAGUACAUGUAAUAUGAUAUGAUUACUUUGUGCUGUACAUUGAAAUUUUCGCAACAGGGACAGAUCAUAAAAAAAGCUCCAGAAUCACAAUAACAGCAGGGACCGGCAUGGAGAAUCAUGUAAAUGGGAAAAAACCUCUGACUUAUCAAAUUAAAUUAC